CAUGGUCUAUACCCUGAAUGCACGCAAUCUCAUCUGAUUUCAGAAGCUAAGCAGGGUCGGGCCUGGUUAGUACUUGGAUGGGAAACCAGUGUAUGCAGGUUGUAACCAUUA
ensembl:rRNA 5S_rRNA 5S ribosomal RNA